rnacentral:lncRNA from 1 species
CAGAGCCCAGCCACCAGGGUCUGCUCCAUGCCUGGUCCCUGGAGAGGCCCUCACCCUCUCUGCUUUCACCCAACCCGACUGACACGGAGUAGGAGGUGGGAAUCAUGCAGGCAGGGAGCUUAGGAAGCCUGGUUCAAGAUUGCUUUGAAUGGCAGGCCCCCUGCUGUGCUCCUGGGGAGAGAGCCUGAAACCUGGAUGCUCGGGAGCCCCUCAGAUCCGUCAUCUGUCCCCGACACCCCUGUGGUGAGCCUUGCCACUGGGCCCUGAGAAGCUCAGAGCAGUCGAGUCAGGGCAGUGGGACAUGACCCAGGUCAGAUGUGGCUUUUCCGUAAUUGUACACCAAUGAUCAAGAGAAAAUGAAGGAUUUUAAUAUCACACACCUACACUUGAUGGCAGGGAAAUAAUUAUUUCCUGCAGAAUGGGCUGCAAAUGUAACAAACCCCCUGACCUUCAGUCUGAAGAGAGAGAACUAUCAACCACACAGAAGCAAAGAUCCAGAGAAAUACUGAGGGAUGCUACCAGACACUCAACCAGGGCCACUCUCCGAGAUUCCAGCCAGCCACACAGCAAAGAUGCUGGCCGGGGACACUGCCCCAAACCACCAGACAGAACCCCAAAGAAACAGCUCCACACACAGUGGAAGAUACACCAGAGACUGUUAGAAGGACCAUCAGACAAAGCCAAAGAGACAGGUAGAUGAAACCAGAUAACCAGCCAGAGAGGUGGUCAGAGAACAGCGACACAAUCAAAGGACCCACCAGAAACACUGUAAAGGACUCAGCUAGACCCAGGCAGAUACACUGCCGAAGGACGAGCAAGGAGCACAGGCAGUGAAGCCGUCGGCGACAAAGCCAGAGAGCUAAGACACUGUCAGAAACAGUGCCAGAGAAACCGUCUGACACACAAGCAGAGAAAUACCAGAGAAACUGAUAGACGCAAACAGGCGUACACCCAGAAAAACAGCUUGAGAGAAGAGCCAGAGCCACAGCCAGAUGCUCAGUCAGGAAGUAUCCACACCACUCCAAACACUGCCAGAGACACUGUCAGACACACAGUCAGACACACUGCCAGAGACACCGUUAUAAAGACUGCCAGAGAAACAGCCAGACACACAGCCAGAAAAACUGACAGAGACGCAGUGCCAGAUAUACCCCGAGAAAGUGCCAGAGACUCAGCUCCAGACAGUGCAGACAUAGCAUAACAGAGACAAAUGUGGGUAUCAGCCUGAAGCAGCUGCGGAGAGGCUGGAGAGCAAUGAACUUCCUGGGGCUUCCUGUGGGAGAGGGCUCCUGCCUGCCUUUUGCUACCCUUGACCCUCUCCAGGAAACCAGGAAGAUCCUCCGCCUCAGUGCCAGGCCACUGCCCACCACAUGGGAGCAGGAACCAGGGCAUGGGCAGGCAGAAGAGCAGGCGGAGUGGCUGAGCUCCUGUCCCGGCUCCCUAAGGUGUUCCCAGUUUGCGGAGGAUUACGUGCCCUCUCAGCCCAGUAGCACACUUUCCAAAUAAGCCAUCAGACUCCUCCCAAGAUCCUGAAACUGAGGCUCAGAGAGCAGAAGCAGCUUGGCCAAAGUCAUACAACUGGUAGUUGGUAAAGGAGCUGGCCUUGAACUCAGGGAUAUCUUGAAAGCCACUGUUGCUUCUAUGGACUCUAGCCAUUCAAAAGACCCCUCACCUUCUAUAAGACCCCAGGAGAUCCUCAGGGUCCAACUGCUCCCUUGAAAACAGGUCCCAGAUAUAUCUGCCAAAGGUAUGAUUAGGUGCCUAAACACAUACCAUGAGAAAGGGAUUCCAUGUCUUCCAAUCCUGCCCAGAGAUGCAGAGACACCACCACCCAGGGAGAGAUAGCCAGAAACUAAAAUAAGAUGUUAGAGACAGGUGGUUGAUAGUGACAGAUACAGCCACACCAAGACAGGCUCAAAGGGAGGAAGACUGAGGGGAAGCCAGAGACAGAGAGGGACACAUUAGGCCAAAGAAUGAGAGAGAUAGCUGGAAAAGGAGACAAUAGGAGUAGAGGAGGGUACAGGCUGACAUGAAAAAACACCGACAGAUACACUCCAGUAUGCAGACAGACACAUAUAGACCCAUCUGACCUUCACAAGAAACAGACUGUGAAAGCAAGCAAGGCUCAGGCUGUGUGUGGUGUGCGUAUGUGUGUGUGCGUAUUGUGGGGGGAGCAUGCAGAGUCUGUAUAGCUACGCACAUUACACCAGCUGCUUCCAGCAAUUUCAUCUGAUUAAU